rnacentral:rRNA from 1 species
GAUGAACGCUGGCGGCGUGCCUAAUGCAUGCAAGUCGAGCGAACGGACGAGAAGCUUGCUUCUCUGAUGUUAGCGGCGGACGGGUGAGUAACACGUGGAUAACCUACCUAUAAGACUGGGAUAACUUCGGGAAACCGGAGCUAAUACCGGAUGAUAUUUUGAACCGCAUGGUUCAAAAGUGAAAGACGGUCUUGCUGUCACUUAUAGAUGGAUCCGCGCUGCAUUAGCUAGUUGGUAAGGUAACGGCUUACCAAGGCAACGAUGCAUAGCCGACCUGAGAGGGUGAUCGGCCACACUGGAACUGAGACACGGUCCAGACUCCUACGGGAGGCAGCAGUAGGGAAUCUUCCGCAAUGGGCGAAAGCCUGACGGAGCAACGCCGCGUGAGUGAUGAAGGUCUUCGGAUCGUAAAACUCUGUUAUUAGGGAAGAACAUAUGUGUAAGUAACUGUGCACAUCUUGACGGUACCUAAUCAGAAAGCCACGACUAACUACGUG